AACGCUAGCUACAGGCUUAACACAUGCAAGUCGAGGGGUAGCAGGGUAGCAAUACCGCUGACGACCGGCGCACGGGUGAGUAACACGUAUCCAACCUUCCCAUAACUCGGGGAUAGCCUUUCGAAAGAAAGAUUAAUACCCGAUAGUACUUUUUCAAGGCAUCUUGAGAAAGUUAAAGAUUUAUUGGUUAUGGAUGGGGAUGCGUUCCAUUAGAUAGUUGGUGAGGUAACGGCUCACCAAGUCUUCGAUGGAUAGGGGUUCUGAGAGGAAGGUCCCCCACAUUGGAACUGAGACACGGUCCAAACUCCUACGGGAGGCAGCAGUGAGGAAUAUUGGUCAAUGGACGAGAGUCUGAACCAGCCAAGUAGCGUGAAGGAUGACUGCCCUAUGGGUUGUAAACUUCUUUUAUACGGGAAUAAAGUGAGGCACGUGUGCCUUUUUGUAUGUACCGUAUGAAUAAGGAUCGGCUAACUCCGUGCCAGCAGCCGCGGUAAUACGGAGGAUCCGAGCGUUAUCCGGAUUUAUUGGGUUUAAAGGGAGCGUAGGCGGACGCUUAAGUCAGUUGUGAAAGUUUGCGGCUCAACCGUAAAAUUGCAGUUGAUACUGGGUGUCUUGAGUACAGUAGAGGCAGGCGGAAUUCGUGGUGUAGCGGUGAAAUGCUUAGAUAUCACGAAGAACUCCGAUUG
rnacentral:rRNA from 1 species